rnacentral:rRNA from 1 species
UACGAACCGUGCGAACGUUGUUCGGAAUCACUGGGCUUAAAGGGCGCGUAGGCGGGUUCGUAAGUCUGUGGUGAAAGCCUCCAGCUUAACUGGAGAAGUGCCAUGGAUACUGCGAACCUGGAGGAGGGUAGGGGCAUCUGGAACGCUGGGUGGAGCGGUGAAAUGCGUUGAUAUCCAGCGGAACUCCGGUGGCGAAGGCGAGGUGCUGGACCCUUUCUGACGCUGAGGCGCGAAAGCCAGGGGAGCAAACGGG